rnacentral:rRNA from 1 species
GGAGGGGUGCGAGCGUUAAUCGGAAUUACUGGGCGUAAAGCGCGCGUAGGCGGGUCUGAUCAGUCGGGAUGUGAAAGCCCUGGGCUUAACCUGGGAAUUGCAUUCGAUACUGUCAGGCUAGAGUAUGGGAGAGGGAAGUGGAAUUUCCGGUGUAGCGGUGAAAUGCGUAGAUAUCGGAAGGAACACCAGUGGCGAAGGCGACUUCCUGGCCCAAUACUGACGCUGAGGUGCGAAAGCGUGGGUAGCGAACAGGAUUAGAUACCCUGGUAGUCCACGCCGUAAACGAUGAGAACUAGAUGUCGGGAGGAUUUACCUCUCGGUGUCGCAGCUAACGCGUUAAGUUCUCCGCCUGGGGAGUACGCCGGCAACGGUA